rnacentral:misc_RNA from 1 species
CUGAGUUGCAAAACUCCCACCAUUGUGAGCCUACCUAGACUGUUGCUUCGGCGGGGGGCACUGCCCUGCUUUCCUCUGGGAAGCACCCGCCGGAGGCAUUUAAACUCUGUAUUUUUGGCUUCUCUGAGUAACUUAUUUAAUAAGUCA